rnacentral:rRNA from 1 species
AUUGAACGCUGGCGGCAGGCUUAACACAUGCAAGUCGAGCGAGCGGCGGACGGGUGAGUAAUGUCUGGGAAACAGCCUGCUGGAGGGGGAUAACUACUGGAAACGGUAGCUAAUACUGCAUACCAUCAGAUGUGCCCAGAUGGGGUUAGCUAGUAGGUGGGGUAAGGGACCACCUAGGCGACGCUCCCUAGCUGGGCUGAUAGGAUGACCAGGCACACCGGAACGGAGACAAGGUCCGGACUCCAACGCGAGGGGACAGUGGGGAAUAUUGCACUGUGGGCGGAAGCCUGGUGCAGCCCUGCCGCGUGUGUGAAGAAAGCCAUCGUAUUGUAAUGCACAUUCAGCGAGGAGGCUGUACUCGCAGAAGAAGCACCGGCUAACUCCGUGCCAGCAGCCGCGGUAAUUC